AUUGAACGCUGGCGGCAUGCCUUACACAUGCAAGUCGAACGGUAACAGGUCUUUCGGGAUGCUGACGAGUGGCGAACGGGUGAGUAAUACAUCGGAACGUGCCUAGUAGUGGGGGAUAACUACUCGAAAGAGUGGCUAAUACCGCAUGAGAUCUAUGGAUGAAAGCAGGGGACCUUCGGGCCUUGCGCUACUAGAGCGGCCGAUGGCAGCUUAGGUAGGUGGUGGGAUAAAAGCUUACCAAGCCUACGAUCUGUAGCUGGUCUGAGGGGACGAUCAGCCACACUGUGACUGAGACACGGCCCAGACUCCUACGGGAGGCAGCAGUGGGGAAUUUUGGACAAUGUGCGCAAGCCUGAUCCAGCAAUGCCGCGUGCAGGAUGAAGGCCUUCGGGUUGUAAACUGCUUUUGUACGGAACGAAAAGUCUUGGGUUAAUACCCUGGGAUCAUGACGGUACCGUAAGAAUAAGCACCGGCUAACUACGUGCCAGCAGCCGCGGUAAAAC
rnacentral:rRNA from 1 species